ensembl:lincRNA
AAGGGCAGCAAGCAUUCUUAAACUGCUGAGCGGCCCUCUUGGUGUUCUUUGCUGGGGCAGGGGGGUUAGCAGGGAGGAAGUGUAGAGAACUGGGAGAGUUGAGACCCUUCUUUUGAGCUUUAAGCUGCAUGUAGUUAAUAUCUGAAUGUGUGGCACAAUUGAAAAGGCAGUGGCUUUCAGGCUAGUCACUGCAUGGACUAGUAAGGCAGCUCUCUUGCUCCCAGCACUGUGCAUCUGAUUCUCCAUUCUCAAGGACCACCUGACAUGGUUAAACAGCCCUGGCUUAACGUUCCAGACACUGCUGCCAAUACUUGCGGCUGUUAGUUCCUGAUUUCUGCUUAAGUGUUUCAACAGCACACUGUGGAACAAUAGUAACAGUGCCAAAGGAAUCCAUCUUCAACAUGUACAUAAACUCCACCAAGUGGCUGCAUGGAAAAGCAAAAAUAAAGAAGGAGUUAGCUACACCUGAAAGAUUCUUCUUUAUGAACAAAACACUCAGAAGAGGAUCAGCUGCUGAUCACAUGUCUGACUCAGCUAUAUCUCAUUGCUAUGGCUCUUGGUCACAAGAUAUCUGACUCUGUGUCACCAGCCUAACAGAAGAUCAAAUUGUGCUGCCAAAGCACAGAACACACCCAGCUUCUUGUAUUUCAUCUGUCUUGCAUUUCCUUAAGUAUCA